rnacentral:rRNA from 1 species
GGAUUGGAAAUGGGCGCAGCCUGAUCCAGCCAUGCCGCGUGGAUGAUGAAGGCCUUAGGGUUGUAAAGUCCUUUCGGCGGGGAAGAUAAUGACGGUACCCGCAGAAGAAGCCCCGGCUAACUUCGUGCCAGCAGCCGCGGUAAUACGAAGGGGGCUAGCGUUGCUCGGAAUCACUGGGCGUAAAGCGCACGUAGGCGGCUUUUUAAGUCAGGGGUGAAAUCCUGGAGCUUAACUCCAGAACUGCCUUUGAUACUGAGAAGCUCGAGUCCGGAAGAGGUGAGUGGAACUGCGAGUGUAGAGGUGAAAUUCGUAGAUAUUCGCAAGAACACCAGUGGCGAAGGCGGCUCACUGGUCCGGUACUGACGCUGAGGUGCGAAAGCGUGGGGAGCAAACAGGAUUAGAUACCCCGGUAGUCCACGCCGUAAACUAUGGAUGCUAGCCGUUGGCGGGUUUACUCGUCAGUGGCGCAGCUAACGCAUUAAGCAUCCCGCCUGGGGAGUACGGUCGCAAGACUAAAACUCAAAAAAAUUGACGGA